GCCGCGCCCUGCAGUUGUUGUGAUUCGACUGAAGAAAGUGUGCUGACUACUGAACUAGGGAGCUGACUGAGACACACCCGGAGAUUCAGUUCAUUUUUCUUUCUUUCUGUUGUUCAUCUUAAUCAUGACAGAGUGUGCAAACACAGAGAGAUCCUUGUGACACACUGAUAUAAAGAUGACGUUUGUUAAAGAGGAGACUGAAGACUUCAGGAUUGAAGAAGCAUUCAGUCUGAAACAAGAAGAGACUGGGGAUCAAACAAAGAGGCAAAGAGGCUUUAUUAAAGAGGAGAGGGAAGACACCAGAAGUGAAGAAAUCUUCAGUAUGAAAGAUACUGAGCAACAAACAGAGAAAGAAGUACUGAAUGAAACUGAAGAGAAAGAUCAAUAUGGGAAUCUUCACGAUUUCACAACUAGAAGAAAAUCUUUUAGAUGUUCGCAGACUGAAAAGUCUU